AUUGAACGCUGGCGGCAUGCCUUACACAUGCAAGUCGAACGACGCCAGGGGGCAACUCCUGGCGAGUGGCAAACGGGUGAGUAAUGCAUCGGAACGUAUCCCGUCGUGGGGGACAACCAGUCGAAAGACUGGCUAAUACCGCAUGAGAUCGAAAGAUGAAAGCGGGGGAUCCGCAAGGACCUCGCGCGAUGGGAGCGGCCGAUGUCGGAUUAGCUAGUUGGCGGGGUAAAAGCCCACCAAGGCGACGAUCCGUAGCUGGUUUGAGAGAACGACCAGCCACACUGGGACUGAGACACGGCCCAGACUCCUACGGGAGGCAGCAGUGGGGAAUUUUGGACAAUGGGCGCAAGCCUGAUCCAGCCAUGCCGCGUGUGUGAAGAAGGCCUUCGGGUUGUAAAGCACUUUCGGACGGAACGAAAUCGCGCGGGCGAAUACCCCGCGUGGAUGACGGUACCGUAAGAAGAAGCACCGGCUAACUACGUG
rnacentral:rRNA from 1 species